rnacentral:rRNA from 1 species
GAGUGGCGGACGGGUGAGUAACGCGUAGGAAUCUGCCUUGAAGAGGGGGACAACCCGAGGAAACUCGGGCUAAUACCGCAUAUAAUCGAGAGAUGAAAGUUGCCUUGCAGCGAUGCGGGUGACGCUUUAAGAGGAGCCUGCGUCCGAUUAGCUAGUUGGUGGGGUAAAAGCCUACCAAGGCGAUGAUCGGUAGCUGGUCUGAGAGGAUGAUCAGCCACACUGGGACUGAGACACGGCCCAGACUCC